UACAGAGGGUGCGAGCGUUAAUCGGAAUUACUGGGCGUAAAGCGUGCGUAGACGGUUAUUUAAGUCGGGUGUGAAAGCCCCGGGCUCAACCUGGGAAUUGCAUUCGAGACUGAAUAGCUAGGGUACGGUAGAGGGAAGUGGAAUUUCCGGUGUAGCGGUGAAAUGCGUAGAUAUCGGAAGGAACAUCAGUGGCGAAAGCGGCUUCCUGGACCAGAACUGACGAUCAGGCACGAAAGCGUGGGGAGCAAACAGGG
rnacentral:rRNA from 1 species